AUUGAACGCUGGCGGCAGGCCUAACACAUGCAAGUCGAGCGGAUGAAGGGAGCUUGCUCCUGGAUUCAGCGGCGGACGGGUGAGUAAUGCCUAGGAAUCUGCCUGGUAGUGGGGGAUAACGUCCGGAAACGGGCGCUAAUACCGCAUACGUCCUGAGGGAGAAAGUGGGGGAUCUUCGGACCUCACGCUAUCAGAUGAGCCUAGGUCGGAUUAGCUAGUUGGUGGGGUAAAGGCCUACCAAGGCGACGAUCCGUAACUGGUCUGAGAGGAUGAUCAGUCACACUGGAACUGAGACACAGUCCGGACUCCUACGGGAGGCAGCAGUAGGGAAUAUUGGACAAUGGGCGAAAGCCUGAUCCAGCCAUGCCGCGUGUGUGAAGAAGGUCUUCGGAUUGUAAAGCACUUUAAGUUGGGAGGAAGGGCAGUAAGUUAAUACCUUGCUGUUUUGACGUUACCAACAGAAUAAGCACCGGCUAACUUCGUG
rnacentral:rRNA from 1 species